rnacentral:rRNA from 1 species
GGGGGGCGGCCUACCAUGCAGUCGAGCGCCCCUUCCGGUGAGCGGCCUACAGGUGAGUAACACGUGGGAAUCUACCUGGCUCUACCGAAUAGCUCAGGGAAACUUGUGCUAAUACCGUAUACGUCCUUCAGGAGAAAGAUUUAUCGAAGUUGGAUGAGCCCGCGUCUGAUUAGCUAGUUGGGGGGGUAAUGGCCUACCACGGGGACGAUCAGUAACUGGUCUGAGAGGAUGAUCAGGCACACUGGGACUGAAACACGGCCCACACUCCUGCGGGAGGCACCCGUGGGGAAUAUUGGACAAUGGGCGCAAGCCUGAUCCUUCCAUGCCGCGUGAGUGAUGAAGGCCCUAGGGUUGUAAAGCUCUUGACCGGUGAAGAUAAUGACGGUAACCGGAGAAAAAGCCCCGGCUAACUUCGUGCCGUCAGCCGCGGUGAUACGAAGGGGGCUAGCGUUGUUCGGAAUUACUGGGCGUGAAGCGCACGUAGGCGGAUUGUUAAGUGAGGGGUGAAAUCCCGGGGCUCAACCCCGGAACUGCCUCUCAUACUGGCGAUCUCCAGUUCGACAGAUGUGAGUGCAAUUCCAAGUGUAGAGCUGAAAUUCGAAUAUAUUCCGAGGAGCACCAGUGACGAGCGCGGAUCUCUGGCUCAAAACUGACGCUGAAGUGCGAACGCGUGGAGAGCACACACGAUUAGAUACCCUGGUGUUCCGCGCCAUAAACAAUAAAUGCUCUGCGUCUGCACGCUUGCCUGUCUGUGGCCCAGUUAACGCAUUAAUCACUCCUCCUGCGGAGUACAGUCGCAAGAUUAAAACUCACACGAGUUGACUGCGGCCCGCACAC